AAAUGUGAAAGCGAUCUGGCUGUGACAUCUGUCACUUCAUUGAUCACCAGUGUUGAUUUGGCUGACCUGGCUGUUCAGGUGGGUGUCCCCUUCCUCCCUCAGGGCUCUAUGUGUGUCCCUCCCAGAUCUGCAUGCUGGGUCAAAGAGGACAACCACCCCAGUAGCUGCAACCCCCUGCUAGAACCUCCAAACAAGCUCUCAAGAAUUUAAGAGAAGCAGAGAGGAGGCUACAAUCAAUUUGGUUUUGAUCAAUAAACACGUAUUGAGUGUGUCCUGU
ensembl:misc_RNA 7SK 7SK RNA